AUUGAACGCUGGCGGCAUGCUUUACACAUGCAAGUCGAACGGCAGCGCGGGCUUCGGCCUGGCGGCGAGUGGCGAACGGGUGAGUAAUGCAUCGGAACGUGCCCAGUAGUGGGGGAUAGCCCGGCGAAAGCCGGAUUAAUACCGCAUACGACCUGAGGGUGAAAGCGGGGGACCGAAAGGCCUCGCGCUAUUGGAGCGGCCGAUGUCGGAUUAGCUAGUUGGUGGGGUAAAGGCUUACCAUGGCGACGAUCCGUAGCUGGUCUGAGAGGACGACCAGCCACACGGGGACUGAGACACGGCCCAGACUCCUACGGGAGGCAGCAGUGGGGAAUUUUGGACAAUGGGGGCAACCCUGAUCCAGCCAUGCCGCGUGAGGGAAGAAGGCCUUCGGGUUGGAAACCGCUUUUGGUCGGGAAGAAAUCCUCUGGGCUAAUACCCCGGGGGGAUGACGGUACCGGAAGAAUAAGCACCGGCUAACUACGUG
rnacentral:rRNA from 1 species